rnacentral:rRNA from 1 species
GGCAGCAUGGUCUUAGCUUGCUAAGGCCGAUGGCGACCGGCGCACGGGUGAGUAACACGUAUCCAACCUGCCGUCUACUCUUGGACAGCCUUCUGAAAGGAAGAUUAAUACAAGAUGGCAUCAUGAGUCCGCAUGUUCGCAUGAUUAAAGGUAUUCCGGUAGACGAUGGGGAUGCGUUCCAUUAGAUAGUAGGCGGGGUAACGGCCCACCUAGUCUUCGAUGGAUAGGGGUUCUGAGAGGAAGGUCCCCCACAUUGGAACUGAGACACGGUCCAAACUCCUACGGGAGGCAGCAGUGAGGAAUAUUGGUCAAUGGGCGAGAGCCUGAACCAGCCAAGUAGCGUGAAGGAUGACUGCCCUAUGGGUUGUAAACUUCUUUUAUAAAGGAAUAAAGUCGGGUAUGGAUACCCGUUUGCAUGUACUUUAUGAAUAAGGAUCGGCUAACUCCGUGCCAGCAGCCGCGGUAAUACGGAGGAUCCGAGCGUUAUCCGGAUUUAUUGGGUUUAAAGGGAGCGUAGAUGGAUGUUUAAGUCAGUUGUGAAAGUUUGCGGCUCAACCGUAAAAUUGCAGUUGAUACUGGAUAUCUUGAGUGCAGUUGAGGCAGGCGGAAUUCGUGGUGUAGCGGUGAAAUGCUUAGAUAUCACGAAGAACUCCGAUUGCGAAGGCAGCCUGCUAAGCUGCAACUGACAUUGAGGCUCGAAAGUGU